CAAAAGCCCAGCUAAAGCCCUCGCGACUUGUAUAGAGAAUUUCACUGAAGCAGCAAACAAUCAAUGUCCGAAUUCGAAUCACUGAAUCAUAUGAAGUAUCAGCAAUUGUGAUAGAUUUGGGUAGCCAUACUUGCAAAGCUGGUUACGCUGGUGAAGAUGCUCCCAAAGCCGUUUUCCCUUCUCCUGAACACCAGAUUUGACUGCUAAAGAUGAAGCUUCUAAAGUUUAGAACUUUGGUCAUAGGCAGCAACUUUGAACUUUCAUGGCAUUUAAGAUGCAAUUGAGGUGUAUAGGGUAGUAGUAAAUAUGGAUUGA